rnacentral:tRNA from 1 species
GUGGUGGCUCAGUAGUAGAGCGCUCACCUAGGACAUGCGAGGUCCUGGGUUCAAUCCUCAGCACCACA